CAGAUGUCCACUGACAGGAUGGGACAUGGAAUUACUCUUCUCUGCUACGUUUUUCCCACCUUCUGUCCAGAGUCUGAGAGCAGACAUCUUGGAGAUGUCUGGUCUAUGUGGAGACCUUGGAGUGACUUGUGACACAUCUGGUCCAUUUGGUAGCUUUGGAAUAAUUUCCCGAUUAAUUGCUGUCUUCUUACUAACUACUUGCUUUCCCCCCUUUUCAUUUUCCCUUGUUGCUUACCAUACUUCUCCUCUUUUCACCACCUGAAUGUCACCUGGUUCUUUCCCGUCAAAACUGAUAGCUGUGUUUUAUUUUCUUUAUUAAAUCAUGG
rnacentral:lncRNA from 1 species